rnacentral:rRNA from 1 species
UACGUAGGGGGCUAGCGUUGUCCGGAAUCAUUGGGCGUAAAGCGCGCGUAGGCGGCCCGGUAAGUCCGCUGUGAAAGUCAAAGGCUCAACCUUUGAAUGUCAGCGGAUACUGCCGGGCUAGAGUCCGGAAGAGGCGAGUGGAACUCCUGGUGUAGCGGUGGAAUGCGCAGAUAUCAGGAGGAACACCAAUGGCGAAGGCAGCUCGCUGGAACGGUACUGACGCUGAGGCGCGAAAGCGUGGGGAGCGAACAGG